GUCUGGGUGGUGUAGUUGGUUAUCACGCUAGUCUCACACACUAGGGGCCCCCGGUUCAAACCCGGACUCAGACA